UACGUAGGCGGCAAGCGUUGCCCGGAAUUACUGGGUGUAAAGGGCGUGUAGGCGGGACUGCAAGUCAGAUGUGAAAUUCCCAGGCUCUACCUGGGGGCUGCAUCUGAAACUGUGGUUCUUGAGUGCUGGAGAGGAAAGCGGAAUUCCUAGUGUAGCGGUGAAAUGCGUAGAUAUUAGGAGGGACACCAGUGGCGAAGGCGGCUUUCUGGACAGUAAGUGACGCUGAGGCGCGAAAUCGUGGGGAGCAAACAGG
rnacentral:rRNA from 1 species